UCCUUUCUACAACGGAAUGAAGCAAUCAAAUAUCAGUUACCAAAAUCAAGACAUUUGUUACAGGUGCAUCGCUCGGCCUUUCUCUCCUCCCGCAAAAUGCUCCGACGCCUCCAGAGUCCAGAUGCAGACCACCUGGGCCUCCUCGCCCAUCCGACGCCAUCAGCGCCGCCACCACCACCGCAUAGGCCGAGAUGGCCACAACGACUCCGCCACCGCACCGUCCCGGACCACCACUCCUCGGCCUCUUCACCUCCUUUGCGAGCUUCUCGGCAACCUGAUGUCAACUCUAUCAGCUUCCUCGAUGUAGAGGAUGUCCAGCGGGGUGGCGUGGGAGAGGAGCUGCGCUCGGCCGGAGCUCAUGGCGGCCGCUUUUGGGAGGGCCGCCCUGUCGCAGUCGCCUUUGUUGUGUGCUUCAGGCGCACUGUUGGUUCAGGGGAGCUUUGAAUUUUGUCCUUAUCAUUUGGUGCUCUGGUUACAGUUCCUAUAGCUAUACAUGCAUGUAUGAGGAUCAGCUCUUCAUAUGUCACUGUUUUGUUAGUGCCCGCAAGCUGAAUCUGGCCAACAUUGACAUCUGGGACUCAUAUUGUUGUUUGUGUUGGAAGAAUGGCUAGGCCAGUUGUGCUAACUUUGGUUAUAUUCUCAUGGCUCCCCCUUUUUAUCCAUGCCAUGGUCUAUCAGUUUAUCUGCAUGAGUGAAUAUAUGAGUUCAUUUCUUUUAUUAAGAUGUUUUUUAUGAGUUCAUCUAUACCGAAGCAAUCCUCAUCUAAUAUUUAAUUUCUUCACGGUUACUGUGGGCUUGCUACAGGCGGCUGAUCAAGGGCGAUGCCAACAAGGAUGGAUAGAAGAUGUGCAAGCAGGUUAUCGCGAGGAGCUGGGAAAUAUUUUCUUGAUGUUCACUUCUGAAUUUGUUCUUACCUCCGUAUGUGCUAGCGUAUAGAAAAUUUCGGAUCUGUGAGUGUUGCAGCAGAUAUUCAGACAAUGCUUGAAGAUACGAUGUUGAAUUUUGAGAAGGAAAGGUAACUCAAGCUUGUGUGAACUCUGAAAUAGUGGUCAUAGUUACCAGUUGUCUUUUUGCAAGAACAAUUCCGCUUGAAACCCUACCUGGUUUCUGAAAAGUAAAAGUUCAUAUUUAUUUAGAUUGUAAACUCAGUGUUCUAUGUUCAUGUGCAAGCAGAUUUUACUGAAAGUACUGUCAAACACUUCCAUAGAGGUGUUCAAUUUAAAAUUCUUACAGCUUGAUAUUUACUGAUUUACAUACGUUAAAUGAUGACAAGUAAUUUGCACUGUAUGUAGUUUUAAAGUUCAUUGAACAAGGAGUACACCAAACUGAAACAUUCUGGUCAUGUUGUAGCAAUAAUAUUUCUGAUUUUUUAACUUAGCAGAAUAUAUUCACAUUUGGAUUAUAUCUAACUAUUUCCAUGCAAGUUACAUACUCCCUUCAUUUUUUUGAGGGACAGACUCCCUUCAAUUUUUAAUCCCAUAGUAAUACGAACAAAAUAAAUACUAGCUGUCCCUCUUGAAGGAUCCAACUUGUAAGGUCCAGCUCAUUCUUAUAGCCUUUCAAAACACCCGCUCUCCCCUUUAUCAUCUCUUGGUAAUUCUGCUAUUUCCUUCGCCGAAAAAACAAUCCGUCUAUAUAUUGUGGCAUGAAUUUGUGCAUUAUCUAUUCUCCAAUCUGAGGCAUCUUAGGGAUCGGAGGAUGUUACAGAGGCAUCAGAUGGUUGGAUUGAUCGGCAAGGACACUUUAGUCAUGUUUCUCAUGACUAGGCUUUAAUCUCUGUAAGUUGAUUUACUUCUUAUUAACCAGAUUGUUUUUUCUUACAUUCCACUCUGAAUCCAAUUCCUCAUAAAAUGAUGUUGCAAGUUUAUCUAAACUUAGAUGUACCUAGACACUCUUUAGUGUAUAGAUACAUCUAAAUUCAAACAAAUGUUCGACAUCUUUUUAUGAACGGAGGGAGUAUUAUAUUGAAAUGGAGGUAAUGCUAUUGUUGUCCCCACUAUUUCCUGGUAUUCAUAACUAGAUGCUAGCUCUUUUGCCCAAACCACCUUGAGAAUUAAUAUGGCUGAUACCAAGAUUGUCCUUGUACAAAUGAUUGAUAUUUGUAGACCACAAAAGUUCAGCAUAAGUAUACAAUAUAUAAAACUUUAUUCUUCUCAUUAUGGUAUUCCUAUUGCAUGGGAAUUACGGAGAUCAAACAAUGGUAUGAACCUUAACCGUGAUGAACUAACUAGCUGGUGAUAUGGUACUUCUUGAAAAGAUGUCAAAUUGUUAGAAAAAAAUUCAGAAAUUGUUGACCUUUUUAUUAGUUCAUGGUAUGUAUUGUACCAAUCCAAUAUCUGCACGGCCUCCAAAAUAGUACACCUUCUACAAUAUCUAGGCAGGCCUGGUGCUGUGGCAUGUUUACUGCAACCUUCUUCAUUUGAUGUCUUGCCAUACUCAACACGGCUCGUGUUUCAGAUAUUGAACCAAACCUACCUGUUCUGCCAAGAGGUCUUGUCCAAGGUUUACGAUAAUUUGCAAUCUCCUAUCUCAGCCUAAAUAAGGAAGACAAGGGAUGAUCUAAGAAAAUAGGAGACAGGGUACCCCAGAUGAAUGUCCUUCCAAGUGAUUUCGGUUUAUUGAUGCAUGCCAAAUCUCCUAUGUGAUGUCUCUGGGAGAGUAAAGAAGGAAGGGACGCAAGCAAGCAAAGGAAGAAAGGGUGUGUUGUCGCAGAAGCCUGCAUAGCCCUAUUUUGCCCCUUUUUUUAUUUUCCUCGCAAGACACAACUGUAUCCCCCCUUUUCCUAUUUUUCCCAGAUUACACCGAGCUACUUACGCUCGUUCCCUGUUGGAAAACAAGUUGGCAAUUCGGGUUGUUUUAAAACAUUUAAAUGUUUAGACAUGACAAAGAGAUUUUUGUAUCUGUAAGAAUUUUUCAGCACUCUAGCUUUAUCUCGAUGUCAAUUAUAACGGUUGUCAAAUAUGCUUCGAGACAA